rnacentral:misc_RNA from 1 species
GAAGCAACCACAAAACCAUGUGUCUUACCUGAACUAUCACUACUCCAAAUUAGGAAGCAUACAGAAGAUAUAUAACUAUCUGAAAGAAUUAAGCACAUCCUGAGAUAAGGGUGUUAAUUAAAAGGGAAAAUUACAUAUUAAAAAUAAAAAUUAGGUUGUGGUUACACGUUUUUACGAGUGGGCACUUGUGAAAAUUAUUUAAAAAACUAAAC